rnacentral:rRNA from 1 species
UACAGAGGGUGCAAGCGUUAAUCGGAAUUACUGGGCGUAAAGCGUGCGUAGACGGUUGCGUAAGUCAGAUGUGAAAGCCCCGGGCUCAACCUGGGAAUUGCAUUUGAGACUGCGUAGCUAGGGUGCGGAAGAGGGAAGCGGAAUUUCCGGUGUAGCGGUGAAAUGCGUAGAUAUCGGAAGGAACACCAGUGGCGAAAGCGGCUUCCUGGUCCAGCACCGACGUUCAGGCACGAAGCGUGGGAGCAAAC